rnacentral:lncRNA from 1 species
GUAUGUACACUAUCUGUGACCAUAUUGCUCAUGUUUUAUUUGACAUUGGUGCAUCGCAUUCAUUUGUUUCACAUGUUUGAGAUUGAAAUUCAAGUAAAGAAGAAAACUCAUAUUUAUUUUUUUGGCUAAGUUUAUCGUUUCUUUUUCUUUUUAUAAUUUUUACGUAUAAGAAAUUAGACAAAUUUAAUGUUAUUUAUUAAUUAAUUAAUGUGUAGAUUAAGAAGCAAGCCCAAGUC